rnacentral:rRNA from 1 species
UACGGGGGGGGGCAAGCGUUGUUCGGAAUUACUGGGCGUAAAGGGCUCGUAGGCGGCCAACUAAGUCGAACGUGAAAUCCCUCAGCUUAACUGGGGAACUGCGUCCGAUACUGAUUGGCUUGAAUCCGGAAGAGGGAUGCGGAAUUCCAGGUGUAGCGGUGAAAUGCGUAGAUAUCUGGAGGAACACCGGUGGCGAAGGCGGCAUCCUGGGUCGGUAUUGACGCUGAGGAGCGAAAGCCAGGGGAGCAAACGGG